GCCCGCGCGGCUGCAGCCCGGGUACGGCUGAGGGGAGGGGCCGAUGUGGAGCGCACGGCGCGGCGUUCUGCCUGUCCCAUCUGUGCGGUCCUCUACGUCUACUGGGAGAUCUCCGAGGCGGCCAAGCAGCGCACCGGGGAGCACGGGAGGAACGCGGCGGUGCGGCUGCCCAGGUGAAGGAAGCUGAUGGUGUUUACAGCUCAUCGUGCAGCUAUCACUUUCCAGAUAGAUGGAGAAACACAGAAGGAACAGAAAGAGAAGAAAGCUGCUUUGAUGGUUGGCAUCUCAAUCGGAGUUCUUGUACUGUGCUGGAUCCCCUUCUUCAUCACAGAAUUAGUAAGUCCCCUCUGUUCCUGUAACAUUCCACGCAUCUCGAAAAGCAUCUUUGUUUGGCUUGGCUAGUGCAACUCUUCCUUUAAUCCUUUCAUUUGUAUGGUAUUUAACAAAUAUUACAACCAUGCCUUCAAGAACCUUUUCCUGAAGCAGAGAUAAAAGGGGACAGAGAAGAAAAUGAUUCCUUUAUUGCACAAUACAGAGAUUUCUGGAGGGAAACGUGCCAGUGAUACAUGGCAGACUUAAAGCACAAGAUCUCAUUAGGGGGAUUUAGACGAAUCAAAGAAGAUUGAAGAUGUUUGCACAUAAACCUACAGUCAGUUUACAGUUCCCCCUAGGAAAUACAUAUAUGCUACUCCAGUGUUUGACAAAGAAAGAAGCAGUGAAUACGUCCCUUCUUUGAACUGUUGUGUGUUAAAGUUUGCAAGCAAAGCACUAUAUGCAUCUAAUACCAAGAAUGUCAAGUCUAACUUGAGUCAUCUCAUCCAGCCAACUACAGAUGCCAUCCUGCAGCUUGCUCUUCAUCAGCAAGGGCACCAAGGAGAACUGUGGAUUGAGCAACACUGAAAUGUUUGUGAUUGUGCACAGGAUGUUGGCUUUAUUUUGGGGACUUUUUUGGAAAGGAGAAAACAGAACGAACAUGCUGCAGUCAGUUCAUUGCUGAAUUUCUCUGAAAUUAAAAGGGGUGAGUAAGCAGUCCCAGAACACACCCAAGUCUGGCUGAGGGGCUGUGUCCUCCUGUAAACAGCAGCUCAGGGAGAAAGGUUGGUGAAGUAAAGGUCAGUUAUGUCCCUGGGGUUAAGUAAAAUUUUAAAGCCAAGUGUAAAAGCUGUUCUGAGCUACAAAGGUUAUUACUUUCAUCUGCUUGCAAAGGAGGAGGAUCUAGCCAGUAGUUUUUCACCUGUGUUUUGCUCUCUCAGCCUGCAGGGCGCACGCUCUCCCUGUUUUCCAGAACACCCAGGGGAGUUCAAGACAGACACCGGAUACCUCCAGUAGGAACUGUAUGCAUUGUUAUUUUAUUUAUAUAUUAUAUAUAUAUAUUUUAUAUAUGUUAAAUAUAUAUAUUUAUUAUUAUUAUUAUUAUGUGCAGUUACAAGCACAAAACAUGCUGUAUUCACUAGCAGCAACACAUGGCUGCUUUGUCAGCUGCAGGUGAAAGACUGCCUUGCCCCAUCUGGGGUUCUUACAUCAUAAGUGUACUCAUCACCCUAACUGAGUAAAUUCCACUAUUUGUCAUUUGGAGUCGACUUCUUCCUGUGAGAUAAGUAUUCCUGCCAUCAGAUCUAAGUGAAUCCAAAAAUAUAAAUAUAUUUAUAUUUAUGUACCAAGCCCAAUAUUUGGUAUAAUGGGAGCAUAGCUCUCAGAAAGUCAUCAACCUUGAUUUAAAAUGUUGCAACAUUGGAAAAUUUUCUACCUCCCUUGGUACUUUAUUUCCAUGAUUAAUUACUCUCAUAAUCAAAACCUGAAAAUUCAUUUUAACUGAAAGAAAAUGAAAGAACAAAAUGAAGCAUGCAGGCAUUCUUCCUUCUGGCAGUUCAAGCAUUAAAGUUCAAAUCUUACAUUACAUUUGUGCUGUUAUCCUUGGCUUCAAGGCAGAAUGAAGAGCAUACAGAAUAUACAAGCCCUGUGUGUAUGAAGAUGAACGAUAAAGUAUCUUGAAUAAGAAAUAAUAAUAAAUGUUUUUUAAGAAGGUAUUCUAAAGAAAGAUCAUUUAGCAGUGCUUAGACAUACAGUCGUUUAUUUCCCCAAAUACGAGUUGCCAGUUUGGAAUAAACCAGUUAUUUCUAUCUAA